GAGGGAUAGAGCACAUCACUUCAUUCUACAGAAAUUUACAAACCAUUUGAAAAGUAAGAAUACAAGGUGUCAAGGUGUAAUGAAGAUCUCCCAACUGAUAGCCAGGGCCCUAAACUAAAAGCCAGUGUUCAUUUGUGCACCCAAUAACCAAUGCCACACCAGGCCCUUCACCUAUGCAACUUGUUUGUCGACAUUAACAGCCAUGUUCCUGAACAACAAAUCGUUUUUUGCCUUCCACAAUACCCACAUGGCAGCAUACAACAUGUAAUACCAUAGUUUCCUACAGAUACCUUCACCUCUCUGAACAGGCCAGCUGCUUGUCCCAUAAAACUCUAGAAGUCGGGAAAUAUAGAAGAAGAUGAGGGGUGGAUUCGGGAGCGACAUCAAAGAAUUUGCAAUUUAAUGGCACAUCCAUACCUCUACUGUGGAUAUGAACUGAAGUUUGAAGGCGUCAUCAAUAACUCCAGUUUGCAAGGCUAAACCCU
rnacentral:lncRNA from 1 species